AUUAUAUUAGUAGCCUAAGAUUUUUGUUGUUAGGUAGUUUACCUUCAGUUUUUUUAGUUUUCUUUCACCAAAGAAUAUCGUUAUUGAAGAGGCUGUCUCCCAAACCAAGAAGCUGUUUUUCAACCAGUUUCCAGAGGCCAAAGAAAAAGAAACAUCGAGACGGUGAUAAAAGAUUGGCUAAGACCGUCAUGAAAUCGAAUUGUUAGCAAGUAGGAAGGAAGGAGAGAAACGACUGAGGAGGGAGAAACGACUGAGGAGGACGAAGACUGCAUCCCAUAAAUGGCUCAUGGACUCAAUCUUUAGAUAAUCUUUAUGUCUUUAAAAUUCAUUAUUAUUUAUAAGUGCAAAGAUCUAAUGUAAUAUUUUUAAAUACAUACAUGUUGGAGUAUAAUGCUGAAUAUUGAUUAAGGCCUACACAUUUGCUAAUGAGGUAAUUUUUCAAAUACCUAUGGAUAAACAUUAACAAAAUUAAAUAUUUUGUAAUGGAUGAUCAAUUUAACAGCAGUAUUACCUUGCUGACUAAAAUAGAAGAAAAUUCACAAAUAAUAAUUCUUUUACCAACAAAGGAGCUAGUAGACCUAAUAAUCCUGUGUUAAAUUGUGCAUUGUCUUUUGAUUUUGUCACUAAGGUAGGCCUAAGAUUUAUAGGCCUACAUAAAAAA